UGGGUUUGACAUGUUUUGGAUCGGUCUAGAGAUAGACUUUCUCUUCGGAGCCAAUUCAC
rnacentral:rRNA from 1 species